rnacentral:rRNA from 1 species
GACAGAGGUGCCGAGCGUUAGGCGGAAUCACUGGGCUUAAAGCGUGUGUAGGCGGAUUCCUAAGUACCUUGUGAAAUCCCAUGGCUCAACCAUGGAACUGCUUGGUAUACUGGGUGUCUUGAGCCAGCUAGGGGCUACCGGAACAAAUGGUGGAGCGGUGAAAUGCGUAGAUAUCAUUUGGAACGCCAAUGGUGAAAACAGGUAGCUGGGGCUGUGCUGACGCUGAGACGCGAAAGCGUGGGGAGCGAACAGG